rnacentral:rRNA from 1 species
AACGAACGCUGGCGGCAUGCCUAACACAUGCAAGUCGAACGAGACCUUCGGGUCUAGUGGCGCACGGGUGCGUAACGCGUGGGAAUCUGCCCUUGGGUUCGGAAUAACAGUUGGAAACGACUGCUAAUACCGGAUGAUGACGUAAGUCCAAAGAUUUAUCGCCCAGGGAUGAGCCCGCGUAGGAUUAGCUAGUUGGUGGGGUAACGGCCUACCAAGGCGACGAUCCUUAGCUGGUCUGAGAGGAUGAUCAGCCACACUGGGACUGAGACACGGCCCAGACUCCUACGGGAGGCAGCAGUGGGGAAUAUUGGACAAUGGGCGAAAGCCUGAUCCAGCAAUGCCGCGUGAGUGAUGAAGGCCUUAGGGUUGUAAAGCUCUUUUACCCGGGAUGAUAAUGACAGUACCGGGAGAAUAAGCCCCGGCUAACUCCGUG